rnacentral:lncRNA from 1 species
UGCGUUCUCUUAGCUAGCCAACAUGUUCCCUACCUUGUGUGCUCUUGAUACAUUCCUAAUAAAUUAUUUACUCUCUAAAGUAGAUCUAAAACUCUUGAUGUUGAGACGGUUAGCCACUUAUCAAAAAGUGACUUGAAGGUGACUAAAACUCUUCAAUUUUGAAGUUGAGCUUUUCCACUUAUAUGUCAAUUUAAAUCUUGUUUCUUUAACAUUCAUCUAGUUGUAUCUUGCCUGCAGGUUGUGUAAAGAAGAAUGAACUUAAUAGUAAAAGACUCAAAACUGAGCUACAUAAACCGAAUAACCAGUAAAAUAUCAUACAAUGAAUAUAUCAUUAGAUUACAAUGAAUUGAACAACAAAAAGAGCAAAGCAAUCUAAAGUGGUCCAAAUAAAAGAGCAACCAAAGCUAAAUACCUGAACAAUAUGUCGAGUUAGAGCAUCAACUAGAUUGUAGGUUUUUCUCUUAGCUAGUUGCCAUUGUCCAGCUGUAGUUGAUCAAACAAAACCCUUCAAACAAUAAAGGUCAGUGUGUGUGUGUAUACAGACACACACACACACACAAUCAGUUAUCAACACACAGACACACAUCUAGAAAAAAAAAUAAUAAUAAAAAAUGAAGGUAAGAAAGCACAUUUUGCAUACCCAACAAGCCAUAAAUCAUAACCCUCUAGGCUUAGCUUCCAAACUGAUAAGACUAGAAUAAUUUGUGCUUUUUACUUACAAUUACAUGGUUCUUGUAGUAAACCUUUACAACAGGGUUCCUUAGAGAAAUCAUUGUAUCAUGUCAAGCACUGUCCCUUAUUUCUUGCCCAGUUCACAUGCUGCUUCCAUAGUUCUUCACCAAGGUUUAAUCAAAACAAAAGGUCAAACAAUGAGAAGUUAAAAGACAGAAAAAAGCAGAGCCUGAAAAUAUAACACUCAUAACUGAUUCUACAGGUACUCAAUGUUAAAGGGCCAGC